ensembl:lncRNA
UCGGGUAGUGACAGUGUGGAAUCCGUUAAUGAAUUGAUGUCGCUUUAUUCAAGCUACUCACCUCCCUCUUCCACCUGCACUUUCAACUGGACCACGGCCAGUCAGAGAGGUCCCGCCCCGACUAUCUCUGAUUGGUUUAGUCCAUGAUAGGGGCAUAAUGUGUGUCUGUUGUUGACCACACGGAGAGUUGCAGAGAUUUUUUUUUUUUUUUUGCUACCCGAAAAUAUUUGGUCGCACCAGUGAAAAAUUUGGUCGCAUUUGCGACCAAAUUGGUUGCACUCUAGAGCCCUGCCCAAGGUGAGAUCUAAAACCUGCAGGGACACCGGCCCUCAUGGACUGAGAUUGCCCACCCCUGCUCUAGGAACAACAUGUUCCUGCCCUUGGCGCUACAUACCUGUGGAAAUCACCCACCUGUCUCUGAUGAUCUCAUCAGCAACCACUGCUUAAGGCGGUGGCUGGUUGACGUUCAUCGCUGGAUCGUUGAAUUACCUAACCUUCCCUGGAUUCCUUCCCUGAUGUGUGGUGAGCCUGCCUGAGUUGUGUGAAAGAAGAGCGAGUUGAAAAGUAACGGAUGAUUGGACGCCUUUCCCCUGGAUCUCUGGAGCCCCAUUUCCACUUUGUACAAUGUAUAUAGCACUACUGGCUCCUGUAAAUAAAAACACUGAAUUGUGAAUUUACGGAGUUCUGCCCUUGCGUCCACGCCCUCCAG